rnacentral:rRNA from 1 species
UACGGAGGGAGCUAGCGUUGUUCGGAAUUACUGGGCGUAAAGCGCACGUAGGCGGCUUUGUAAGUUAGAGGUGAAAGCCCGGGGCUCAACUCCGGAACUGCCUUUAAGACUGCAUCGCUUGAAUCCGGGAGAGGUGAGUGGAAUUCCGAGUGUAGAGGUGAAAUUCGUAGAUAUUCGGAAGAACACCAGUGGCGAAGGCGGCUCACUGGACCGGUACUGACGCUGAGGUGCGAAAGCGUGGGGAGCAAACAGG